AGUGUAGGUGGUUAUCCAAGUUGGAUGUGAAAGCCUUGAGCUUAACUCAAGAAAUGCAUUCAGGACUGGAUGACUAGAGGACCGGAGAGGAUAGUGGAAUUCCCAGUGUAGUAGUGAAAUACGUAGAGAUUGGGAAGAACACCAGUGGCGAAGGCGGCUAUCUGGACGGUUUCUGACACUAAGACUCGAAAGCGUGGGAGCAAACA
rnacentral:rRNA from 1 species